rnacentral:rRNA from 1 species
GACGAACGCUGGCGGCGUGCUUAACACAUGCAAGUCGAACGGAAAGGCCCUGCUUUUGUGGGGUGCUCGAGUGGCGAACGGGUGAGUAACACGUGAGUAACCUGCCCUUGACUUUGGGAUAACUUCAGGAAACUGGGGCUAAUACCGGAUAGGAGCUCCUGCUGCAUGGUGGGGGUUGGAAAGUUUCGGCGGUUGGGGAUGGACUCGCGGCUUAUCAGCUUGUUGGUGGGGUAGUGGCUUACCAAGGCUUUGACGGGUAGCCGGCCUGAGAGGGUGACCGGCCACAUUGGGACUGAGAUACGGCCCAGAAUCCUACGGGAGGCAGCAGUGGGGAAUAGUGCACAAUGGGCGGAAGCCUGAUGCAGCAACGCCGCGUGCGGGAUGACGGCCUUCGGGUUGUAAACCGCUUUCGCCUGUGACGAAGCGUGAGUGACGGUAAUGGGUAAAGAAGCACCGGCUAACUACGUG